UGUUGGUUGGGAAGGUGUUGAAUACGGUUUUAAGCUGAUCUCACAUUCACUUAUUGACAAAGGAGAAUGCCAAGACCUUUUGACUGUUGAUGUUGCUGGUACUGUCCUUUCCUGUAGUGAUAUGGACAUAUAUGGAAAAGCUCCUAAAGAAAGGAAAAGGAUCAACUUUGAACUCCAAGAUGUGGAUGGUAAUAUAGUGGGUUGUACAUUGUGGAAUGAAUACGCCCAACAGUUCAAAGAUUUCUUGGAUAUAAAAAACCCGACUGAGUCUGUAAUGGCUGUCAUUCAGCACGGAAAGAUUAAUGA